rnacentral:tRNA from 1 species
UCCCUGGUGGCUCAGAUGGUAAAGAAUUUGCCUGCAAUGCAGGAGACCCAGGUUCAAUCCCUGGGUCGGGAA